UUACAUUGCUUAUAAAUAACUUUAUCCAAUUAAGUGUUUUUGAAUGUGUGCAUGUGUAAUGUAUGAAAUUGUUUGACUGAUUUUAUCUACGAUAAUUGUUCAAUUCACCAGUAAACGCGAGAUAUGUCGAGAGAAUAAAUAUCUAGGAGCUCAUUUUUUAUUCGUGUUGCAUUCCGAACAUGAUUUGUGAUGCGCAUGACAGUAACACGGAAACUGCAUGUUUAUUUUUGAUAACGCUUUAACACGAAUUAAACCCUUGCAAAUAUUUAAUUGUAGAUCGUUUACUGUGUAUAAGAUGGAGGACCAGGAGAUGCAACUGAAAGUUAAAAGAGUGACUGACAAAUUCACGGAAAACAUGUACGUGUUGGCUAACGAGCCAUCAGUGGCUCUUUAUCGACUGCAAGAACACGUUAGAAGGUCCCUCCCAGAGCUAGUACAACACAAAACAGAUAUGCAGAGCUGGGAGGAGCAAAGCCAAGGAGCAAUCUACACUGUGGAAUAUGCAUGCAGUGCAGUGAAAAGCAUGACAAACAGCAGCCUGUACUUCAAAAGCAUCGAUGGCCUCCUUCGUCAAGCCAUCAGCAUGAAGGAACAGAUCAGCACCUCCCAGGGGCGCAGCGCACAUGAAGCGACCCCCUCUCCCAUUCCCCCUGCCACUCCACCACAUCCCCCAUCCACUUCCUCCUGACCUCUGGAAGACGCUGUCCAAGGUUAGUCGUUCCUCAGGCAUCACUCAAAGCUAUACUUGGACUCAAGGACUUCUAGGCACUCUCUUGACUUUCAACAGGAGAAGAACCACAGACCCAAGAGUGCUGAAGGAAGGAGGAGAGAAACACAGCUCUGGGACAUGAUGAUGAUGACGACAUUGUGGCAUUGCAGUGAGGCUCUGGCUAAGUUCCCUCUGAAAGGGAGAUGUGGGGUCAGGAGGUCAUUCACCCUACCAUCACAAUGGUGCCCUGCCCCCACCACCUCAACAAGAGACUCAAUGGAAUGGAAAGCCAGCAGCUUUGCUUUGCCAGGACAUGCAUUAACAUGUCAAAGUCAUUAUUUUGGGCCUUGUGUAUCAAUCAAUUGGAGGGACUCUGAAAGUAGUGACUUUUGCCUCUGCUGCAAAUUAACUGGAAAAUAUCUGUAGGAAUCUAAAUUAAGUUUUCCUUUCUAGGAUCACAACUAUUUGGUAGAAGCUGUUAAUUGUUUAGCCGUUGGUCUAAACGUAUGUAAUGUCUGAUAAUUUAGCUAAAGCAGAUUAAUUUAAAAGCUUGCACGUGAGGUUCAUUUGUAUUUAUUAUGGAACCCCAUUAGCUGCUGCCAAAGCAACAGCUACACUUCUUGGGAUCCAGCAAAAAAUAAAUGCAGUAAUAUAUAUUAGAAUAUAAUUUUAAACAUUAAAAUAAAUGUUACAACAUAUUAACUGUCUCUCUGCAGGCCACUACUCUAAUGCAACACACUAUCCAGGUGUGUGUGUGUGUGUGUGUGUGCGCAUAUAUGUGUGUCGGGUACCUGUGUGUGUACAUAUGUACCCAUGUGUGUGUGACGCUUCAGUCCUCACUGUUCCAUAAGGUGUAUUUGUCUUUUUUAAAUCUGAUUUUAUUGCUUUUGGGAGUUACUUGAUGUGGAAUAGAGUUAUGUGGGCUGACUACUGUGUACAUAAUGCUACCAAAUAUGUAGCAGUUUGUUACUUUUGAUUUUGCCAAUGAGUUUUGGGUGACACGUGUUAAGACCAGCUGGAUGCAGAUUGCUUUGUUCCACAAUAUGUUCUGGUCAUUAACUAGGCCUUACCGUUAUUUGUUGGUCUUACCUGCUAAGUAUACUGAAACCCCAAGGCAAAAUAGUCCGAUGGCCACAUGUCGGACAGCUCGGCUAUCCAAUAGGAACCAGUCUGCUCUGUGGGAGGAAAUGAAGCAAAUGCAAUCAGCUACAUGACCAUACUAUUUGUGGAAAGUGCUAAAUUAUGUAUUUAGACCAAAAUAAAUCAAUUCAAGGUUGCAAUUAGGCCUUCUGUCCAUAA